AUUCCGAUGAGCUCCCACAGUAUGCAUUUGUUGUUCCAAAUGAUCAAUUUUAGCACGUUCAACAUUGCGAUGAUGCCGAAUCCAGCCAAUGUCUUGAGUUUUCAAAAUUUUGAUUGUGUCCAUAUCGAUGGUUGAAUCCUCGCGCUGUUCAAGGGGUACUCCAUUUUUGGUCUUUUUGUGUGUCAUUUCAUGAUAAAACUCAUCAGGGUUUCUUUCAAGGGCUUUUUCACGAAGACGUUUUAACUUCUUUUGCUUUGUCUUAUAAUCCUGAGCACGCUGCGCAUAAUCCUUUCGUUUCUCUAGCAAACCCCAUUUUCGUCUUUCAAAAGGCUGAGCUCUUUCUCGAUGAUUUUUCCUUUGACCUGCAUUUUUAAAAGACGAAGACAUCUUUAAAAAAGUUAUGGUUAAUGUUUGGCUGUUUGUCAAAGAACCGAAUUAUUGGCUUUUAGCAGAUUCGCCUCUGCAAAAUAUUUGUGUUUAGGGCACUACAAGUGUUAGCGUGCAAUGUGCUCAGGACGUUAAGAUACGCUAUUACCCCCUUGGCUAGUGCUUGUAUUGUUUACGAUUUGAAGUUAUACUGUUAAUACUCUAUAGAUAUAAUCAAAUUUUUUAGAAAGAGUCUUUGGCUGAAUGGUGGCUUGUUAGCUUUCUAGUAGAAUUGG